CUCGGUGCGGUACGGAUGGCUGAGCGGUAAGUGCGUAGAAGCUUGAAAUCAAUUUAUCUCUCGUCGUUAUUACGAGGCAGUGUUCGGAUCGGAAAAUCGUCGAUGGAAUAACGUUCGAUCAAAUGUGCCGAUUUUCUGGAGGAGAAAAACAAAAACCCGAAUACGAAUUGAAGAAAUCUCCCUAUUUCAACGGACGAGGAGAGCGAAGGGAUGAAAAAAGAAAGAGCCGAGUGUACGAGGAUCCGAGAGGCUCACAUUUUCACCUAGGUACGUAUACACCCACUUUUAUCCCAUCUGGAGCAUAUUAUAUAACGUUAUACGUGUAUAUACGUCGGUGGGCUGAGGGGUGGGAAAAACUUUACAUAUAUCCGUUUACGAGAGAGGGAAAUUGCAGUAGCGGUAUAGACGCGGGUAGGUACCAUCAGAAAAGAGGAUUGUGCAGAGAAUAUGAGGGAAAAAGGGGCUGCGGGGUAGGGAGAGAAAGUGGUAAAGCUUUUUGCGUCCCUUCGGAACGUUUGUCGCCCUACUAUCAACCCGAAACUACCCUACCGGUUCGAACGGAGACAACGACGACGAUGAAGAAGAAGAAGAAGAAGGAGAAGAAGAAGAAGAAUAAGAAAGGGUAGGACAACGGCGACGUUACAGUCGAGGACAUCGUGUACCGUUGGGCGAUGUGCAGGGAUGCGAUGGAAAGGCGACACGGAACCGCUUCAGGGGGGGUAGUUUUGGAAUAAUAUUUUUGGCGACGUUCCAUCCUCCGUGACUCUCCCGUUCUCUCCGUUACGUACCGUGACAUAGGUAUGUACCGUUUAUUUCCAAAAUUUUCGCUAGGCGUCUCCGCUAAGUAGGCCUUACGAGGCUCGUUUGGGUAAUGGGGUAAUGGUAGGGCGUUAUACGUUAAAUAUCUACGUGUACGUUGCACGUUACACGCCUCCGUAUAACGCGUUACGCCACCUCGACCUCCCGCCAACUAUAUUCCCGACUCCCGUAUCCGCUGGUUCCGUCGGUAGCUCCGGUACACACCGAACUCUCGCGGUUGGCUGAUUUCUCUCCUCCUACCCCCCCCCGGUUCGCGCGAAGGGGUGAAGAUGGGUUGGCUCGCUCCGGCUAAAUUUUCAGGAGGUUCGAGGCCCUGGAAUAGGCCUAGGGAAACGAUUGCAACACACCGACCGUCGUGAUCCACAGACGAGGGUAGUUAUCGUUUGGCAGGGGUGCCAACCGCAUCGCGCCACUUUGAUACGAUAUGAUAUCACCCGGUUGCGGUCGCGUUUGCCACCCCUACCCUCGACCCCGUCGCCCCGACCGCUCGAAAGCCUUCGUCCAACGUGCAACGAACCCCCAAAUCACCCCCGACAACGUGCCGUGAGUAUCGCGUCGCGUACACGCAUACGCAUACGUUUAUCACGUGCAUCCCCGAUCGCACCCCCUGGAGAAACUAGCCGCGGUGAUCAGGAACUGCGUACGGGUCAAGGGAAACGGAUACCGAAAAAUGAAGCCAACGAGAAGGAUGAAUCGGCAGGAGAGGGGAAGAGAUCGGAGGACGCGAUGCGGGGGAUUCAAGAUUUUGGUGAGCGAUAAAUCGUCCUUCGAACGUGUAAAUUCCUUUUUUUACAGCAUAGAAGUGGUUCGUGGUCGGUGGUAAGAGGGGAAAUACAAGUGGGUUAAGUUAUGGGUAAAAUGAAGUCCUUUUUGCCGGGGGCGACUAACAUCCCCUGAAUGAAACUCCUGUUGGGACUCUGACCUCUGGAUCCAUUCGUGGUAUAUGCGAUAAGCCUCGAGCACAGGAUCGUAACUUAAUUCCCGGAUAAUGGGGAGGUACGUAUAGACACGCGAGGUAGCGCAGGUUUCCACCUGAGGCGGGAGGUUCCCAGAGUCAUCCGAGAGGCAACUGGGAAAGGAUGAAAAGAAAAACUCAAGGACUCGAGGACUGAUCGUCCAACGGGUGCAGUCUGACGGAGACGUCAAUUUUGAAGCUCAUCUGUGAAUUUGGUUUCUCAUUUAUAUUCCACAUCCAUCGAUGGAACUCGCCCACUACCUGAUUUAUACUACGUCGGAAGAAGAGAAAGAAGAGAAAGAAAGAAAGAAGGAAAGAAGAUCGACGAGGACGAUGAUCAAUAAUACGCAAGAAGAUACAAAUACUCGAGGGGUGAAUUUGACGUCGCAGAACCAGAGAAACGAGAGGAACGAAGAUUAUCGGGGAUAAGAAGCGGACCGAGUCUGCGGAGAAUUUUCCCCGCAAUUCCGUGAUGACGAUUCUUACUUUACCGGGGCACGGCGUAAUACCCAUGCAUCGGCCAUUACAAAGAUUCGAGCAUCUUCGAUCGGUAUGUGUACGGAGUACAUACGUGUAAGGUAUACCUAUAAGUUGCAUGAACUGGAUAAGGUAUAAAAUCUCUUCAUAUACAUACGGUGUAUGUGUACGACGGUAAAUAGGGCGCGUAAAUGCUACGUCAUCAGGUUGAAACGCCGAUGCCGCUGCUGAACCGUAGAAGUAGAAGUAGAAGUGGAAGUGGAAGUGGAAGUAGAAGUAGAAGUCAGACUGCACCGCGCACUGCGGAGCGAAGAAGACAGGGCGGGCUUGUACGAGCCGGUGGAAAGGGCGACGGUUUCCGAUAUCUCUGUACAUACUACAGAUUCGACCUAAACCUACCGGUGUACACGGUUACACGUCGCAUCUCUCCUUCGCUCUUCGCCGUUUCAUACGCCUCCCCGCAUCGAGGGAUCACGUCCGAGCCCCCCUCUCUCUCUACCGCAGGUAUAUACACACGUGAGCCGGUCGACAUCUG